rnacentral:lncRNA from 1 species
UGAUUUCGUCUGUAACUCGUCGGUGAUGUGUUCUUUUCUGGGUGCAUGUUGGAUAACCUUAAUGUUUUUCAUCAAACUUACAGUCUGAGGAAAACGUGAAAGUCGCGCAGCCGACCGUCAACUAUUUUGUUCAAAUUCAUUCUAUUCUACUGAAUGUGCCAUCGAAAUGAUACAGGAUUCAUCUUAAUUAUCGUCUGUAUCUAUUGGACUUGCUAGAUCACCAACCCCAGAAUGGACCAUUCUCUCAUUCCAUUUUCUAGAGAGCCUUGGAUAACUGACCAAUGGUGUCAUGUAUAUGGCCUAUAAGACCAAAUGUCUGGUUGUCACUCGCGCUACCUGGUGGAUAUCAUUCAUUCAUCAUUCAUAAGUAUUUUUCUGAAUGUUAAACACGAGCAGUAGAUUCAACAUGACUAACUGCUAACUAAAUAAGUGGAUGAAUGAUAUCCACCAGGUAGCGCGAGUGUCUUCAGGGACGCUUAGCGGCCAUCUUGUUCCAAGACGCAGUUGAAGUAGGUUGUUGGCUGUCACGCUCCUCACGAUGAAAAUUAAAAGGUGAUUUAGCACGUUGAAACUAAUUUGCCAAAUCAUUCAACUCAGACUUGGAAGUGCCUGUAC